rnacentral:ncRNA from 1 species
CUUAUCCGGAGUGACGGAGGGAACAGGCCCUAUGAAGUCCGACAACCUGCCUAAAAAAGGUAAGGUGCCAAAUCCUGCGGUUCAGCCGAAAGAUGAG